UACGUAGGGGGCGAGCGUUGUCCGGAGUUACUGGGCGUAAAGCGCACGCAGGCGGUCUGCUAAGUUUGGAGUGACAGUUGGUGGCUUAACUGCCAAAGUGCUUCGAAAACUGACAGACUUGAGGGCUUCAGAGGGACACGGAAUUCCGGGUGGAGUGGUGAAAUGCGUAGAGAUCCGGAGGAACACCAAAGGCGAAGGCAGUGUCCUGGGGAGUUCCUGACGCUCAGGUGCGAAAGCCAGGGGAGCGAACGGG
rnacentral:rRNA from 1 species